UCGUUUUACAAUUUAAUUGUUGAUUGC
rnacentral:sRNA from 1 species